GAUGAAGAACGUAGCGAAAUGCGAUACGUAGCGUGAAUUGCAGAAUUCAGUGAAUCAUCGAAUCUUUGAACGCACAUUGCACCUCUCGGUAUUCCGGGAGGUAUGCCUGUUCGAGCGUCAUUUGUACCCUCAAGCUCUGCUUGGUGUUGGGUGUUUGUUCCGCCUCUGUGUGUGAACUCGCCUCAAAACAAUUGGCAGCCGGCGUACUUGUUUCGGAGCGCAGCACAUUUUGCGAUCCAGAUCAACGUACAGCGGCAUCCAAGAAGCCUUAUUUAACGCUCUUGACCUCGGAUCAGGUAGGGAUACCCGCUGAACUUAAGCAUAUCAAUAAGCGGAGGA
rnacentral:misc_RNA from 1 species